rnacentral:rRNA from 1 species
CUUGUCGCAGCUUACCGCGUCCUUCAUCGGGGAGCUGCUAAACAAGCUUUGAUCCGGGGGUUUCCGAAUGGGGAAACCUAUAUUGGGUAAUGCCAAUAUAUCCUUACUUGAACACAUAGGGUAAGGAAGGGAACCUGGUGAACUGAAACAUCUAAGUAACCAGAGGAAAAGACAUCAAUCUAGAGAUUCCCUUAGUAGCGGCGAGCGAACGGGGAUCAGCCUAAACCUUAUACGUGUUAGUAGCAUGCAGGCGCUGCGUAUAGGGUGUUGUAGGAUAUUUCAUGUCGAGCUGCAUCGAGAUGAAUGAGUCAAAAAUAUUUUUCUUAGUAGAAUAACUUGGAAAAGUUAGCCAUAGUGGGUGAAAGCCCCGUAUACGAAAAGAAGAGUACUCAUCGAAAUAUUCCUAAGUACCACGGGACACGAGAAAUCCUGUGGGAAUCUGGGAGGACCAUCUUCCAAGGCUAAAUACCAUUGUAUGACCGAUAGUGAACAAGUACCGUGAGGGAAAGAUGAAAAGAACCCCGGAAGGGGAGUGAAAUAGAACAUGAAACCAUGUGCCUACAAGCAAUCGGAGCUCUCAUCUGAGAGUGACGGUGUGCCUAUUGAAGAAUGUGCCGGCGACUUAAUGUCAGUAGCAAGGUUAAGUUUUUAAAACGGAGCCGUAGGGAAACCGAGUCUGAAUAGGGCGACUAGUUGCUGGUAUUAGACCCGAAACCUGGUGAUCUAUCCAUGGGCAGGGUGAAGCGGAAGUAACAUUCCGUGGAGGCCCGAACCAUUGUAAGUUGAAAAUUGCUUGGAUGACCUGUGGAUAGUGGUGAAAUGCUAAUCGAACCAGGAAAUAUCUGGCUCUCUCCGAAAUGACUUUAGGGUCAGCCUCGAGGAUUAGGUGCUUGGAGGUAGAGCACUGUUUGGGCUAGGGGGAUCACCAAUCUUACCAAACCCAGGCAAACUCCGAAUGCCAAGUUACUAUACUCGGGAGUGAGACAUAGGGGGCUAAGCUCCUAUGUCAAAAGGGAAACAGCCCAGACCGUCAGCUAAGGUCCCUAAUAUAUGCUAAGUGGGAAAGGAAGUGGAAUUCCUUAAAACAACCAGGAGGUUGGCUUAGAAGCAGCCACCCUUUAAAGAAAGCGUAACAGCUCACUGGUCGAGGGAUUCUGCACCGAAAAUGUAACGGGGCUAAGCAUAUAACCGAAGCUACGGGAUUACUUUUGUAAUCGGUAGGAGAGCGUUCUGUUAUAGGUUGAAGUUCAUUUGUAAAGAUGGAUGGACGAAGCAGAAGUGAGAAUGUCGGCAUGAGUAGCGAAAAAAUAAGUGAGAAUCUUAUUCGCCGUAAACCUAAGGUUUCCUGGGGAAGGCUCGUCCGCCCAGGGUUAGUCGGUAUCUAAGGUGAGGCCGAAAGGCGUAGUCGAUGUACAACAGGUUAAUAUUCCUGUACUACCUAUCAGACGUUAUUAGCGAUGGGGUGACGCAGUAGGAUAAAUCAGCCACUUAUUGGAUUGUGGUUUAAGCUCGUAGGAGGAAGAGAUAGGUAAAUCCGUCUCUUCAUUAACUCUGAGAAGCGAAUACGAUCUGCUUGCAGAGAAGUGAUUGAGUCCACACUGACCAGAAAAACCUCUAGUGAGACUGAUGGGUAACCGUACUAAAACCAACACAGGUAGGUGGGUAGAGAAUACCAAGGCGCGCGAGAUAACCCUCGUUAAGGAACUCGGCAAAUUAGCCUCGUAACUUCGGGAGAAGAGGUGCCUGCAAUUGUGAAAUCCCUCGCGGAUGGAGCAUACGCAGGUUGCAGUGAAAUGGCUCAAGCGACUGUUUAUCAAAAACACAGGUCUCUGCUAAACCGCAAGGUGAAGUAUAGGGGCUGACGCCUGCCCAGUGCUGGAAGGUUAAAGGGAGAUGUUAAUCCUCGGAUGAAGCAUCGAACNGAAGGCCCCAGUGAACGGCGGCCGUAACUAUAACGGUCCUAAGGUAGCGAAAUUCCUUGUCAGGUAAGUUCUGACCCGCACGAAAGGCGUAACGAAUUGAGCACUGUCUCAACGAGAGACCCGGUGAAAUUGAAGUGUCCGUGAAGAUACGGACUACCUAUAGCAAGACAGAAAGACCCCGUGGAGCUUUACUGUAACUUGGCUUUGGGCUUUGGAAUAAUUUGUGCAGGAUAGGUGGGAGACUUUGAAGCAUAAUCGUCAGAUUAUGUGGAGUCACUGGUGAGAUACCACCCUUAUUAUUUUGAAGUCCUAACUACGUCCCGUAAUCCGGGAAUAGGACAUAGCCUGGUGGGCAGUUUGACUGGGGCGGUCGCCUCCUAAAAGGUAACGGAGGCGCUCAAAGGUUCCCUCAAGGCGGUUGGAAAUCGUCUGUAGAGCGUAAGGGUAUAAGGGAGCUUGACUGCGAGACUUACAAGUCGAGCAGGGACGAAAGUCGGACCUAGUGAUCCGGUGACUCCGUAUGGAAGGG